rnacentral:rRNA from 1 species
UACGGAGGUGGCAAGCGUUGUUCGGAAUUACUGGGCGUAAAGGGCGCGUAGGCGGCCAGGCAAGCCAGGUGUGAAAGCCCCGAGCUUAACUCGGGAAUUGCAUCUGAAACUGCUGUGCUUGAGUUCUGGAGGGGGUAGUGGAAUUCCCAGUGUAGCGGUGAAAUGCGUAGAUAUUGGGAGGAACACCUGCGGCGAAGGCGGCUACCUGGACAGAAACUGACGCUGAGGCGCGAAAGCUAGGGGAGCGAACGGG